AUCUACGGCCAUAUCACCCUGAGCACAUCAGAUUUCAUCUGAUCUCAGAAGCUCAGCAGGGUCGGGCCUGAUUAGGACUUGGAUGGGAGAAAUAAACAUGGAUACUGUAAGUA
rnacentral:rRNA from 1 species